CUGCUAUUGACAGUAAGGUCAAGAGAGAUCGUCUAGAUUUGUAUUUAAAAAACGUCGCAUUCAGCCAAUUGUACCUAUGGACGUUUAGGUCAUUUAUGGGUCAUUGACAGCGGGACAUUUUUUUGUUUAAAAGGAAUAAGAUAUUUCUCCCCUUCACCGGAAACUUCUGUUUGCUUUUCCCAUGGGCGGAUACAGAGAGGGGACGUAAGGGGUUUGAGUCCCCCUGUUUGCCCGAAAAAGAGGAGGAAGAAAAAGGAAGAGAGGAAGAAGGAAGGAGUAGAGGAAA